rnacentral:other from 1 species
AACCACCUGGGACGUACGAGAAGGUUGUUUGUAAAUAUCCAACAUUGAGUACACGGGACGCCGGGUCAAGUGCGUGGCUGUCGGGCCGGCUCCGAUCGGAUGGCAAAAGCGCGCUGCAGGCAACCCACCUAACGUUGUUAGGGUACUUGACAGCAACCGAACCGGCGCCCCGGGGGUUCU